rnacentral:rRNA from 1 species
UACGUAGGGGCGAGCGUUGUCCGGAAUUAUUGGGCGUAAAGAGCUCGUAGGCGGUUUGUCGCGUCUGCUGUGAAAACCUGGAGGCUCAACCUCCGAGCCUGCAGUGGGUACGGGCAGACUAGAGUGCGGUAGGGGAGAUUGGAAUUCCUGGUGUAGCGGUGGAAUGCGCAGAUAUCAGGGGGAACACCGGUGGCGAAGGGCGGGUCGUCUGGGCCGAUGACUGACGCUGAGGAGCGAAAGACGUGGGGAGCGAACAGG